CAGCAGCUACGUCGGGGGAGCUCGAGCUGGCCCUUUUCGGGCACGUGCUCGCCCCUCGGCCUUCCAAUCCCACGCACCAGUGCACUUGACGGCGAGGGGGGGCAACUCCCCGCCGUCUUUCUCACCCACGCCGGUUUGAAAGCGCAUGUGAACGUAGCGAGCCCUCCGGGGACUCGUGAUUUUUAGAA
rnacentral:misc_RNA from 1 species